rnacentral:rRNA from 1 species
UACGUAGGUGGCAAGCGUUGUCCGGAUUUAUUGGGUUUAAAGGGUGCGUAGGCGGCUUUGUAAGUCAGUGGUGAAAUAUGGCAGCUCAACUGUCAAGGUGCCAUUGAUACUGCGGAGCUUGAGUACGGAUGAGGUAGGCGGAAUUGACGGUGUAGCGGUGAAAUGCUUAGAUAUCGUCAAGAACACCUAUAGCGAAGGCAGCUUACUAGGCUGUAACUGACGCUGAGGCACGAAAGUGUGGGGAUCAAACAGG